GGAGAAAUGGCUGAGUGGUCGAUAGCGGUAGAUUGCUAAUCUAUUGUAAAUGUUUUAAUUUACCAAGGGUUCGAAUCCCUUUUUCUCCU
rnacentral:tRNA from 1 species